GGCCGGCUGGCUUAGUUGGUAAAGCAUACGACUCUUGAUCUCAGAGUUGUAAGUUCGAGCCUCACGCUGGGCG
rnacentral:tRNA from 1 species